UGGGGAAUAUUGCACAAUGGGCGCAAGCCUGAUGCAGCCAUGCCGCGUGUAUGAAGAAGGCCUUCGGGUUGUAAAGUACUUUCAGCGGGGAGGAAGGGAGUAAAGUUAAUACCUUUGCUCAUUGACGUUACCCGCAGAAGAAGCACCGGCUAACUCCGUGCCAGCAGCCGCGGUAAUACGGAGGGUGCAAGCGUUAAUCGGAAUUACUGGGCGUAAAGCGCACGCAGGCGGUUUGUUAAGUCAGAUGUGAAAUCCUCGGGCUCAACCUGGGAACUGCAUCUGAUACUGGCAAGCUUGAGUCUCGUAGAGGGGGGUAGAAUUCCAGGUGUAGCGGUGAACUGCGUAGAGAUCUGGAGGAAUACCGGUGGCGAAGGCGGCCCCCUGGACGAAGACUGACGCUCAGGUGCGAAAGCGUGGGGAGCAAACAGG
rnacentral:rRNA from 1 species